rnacentral:rRNA from 1 species
UACGUAGGGCGCAAGCGUUAUCCGGAAUUAUUGGGCGUAAAGAGCUCGUAGGCGGUCUGUCGCGUCUGCUGUGAAAACUCGGGGCUUAACCCCGGGCCUGCAGUGGGUACGGGCAGACUAGAGUGCGGUAGGGGAGACUGGAAUUCCUGGUGUAGCGGUGAAAUGCGCAGAUAUCAGGAGGAACACCGGUGGCGAAGGCGGAUCUCUGGGCCUUGCCUGACGCUGAGGCGCGAAAGCUAGGGGAGCGAACAGG